rnacentral:rRNA from 1 species
AUUGAACGCUGGCGGAAUGCUUUACACAUGCAAGUCGAACGGUAGAGGGGGCAACCCCUCGAGAGUGGCGAACGGGUGAGUAAUAUAUCGGAACGUGCCCAGUCGUGGGGGAUAACGUAGCGAAAGUUACGCUCAUACCGCAUACGAUCUAAGGAUGAAAGCGGGGGAUCGCACGACCUCGCGCGAUUGGAUCGGCCGAUAUAAGAGUAGGUAGGUGGUGGGGUAAAGGCUCACCAAGCCAACGAUCUGUAGCUGGUCUGACAGGACGACCAGCCACACUGGAACUGAGACACGGUACAGACUCCUACGGGAGGCAGCAGUGGGGAAGUUUGGACAAUGGACGCAAGUCUGAUCCAGCCAUUCCGCGUGCAGGAUGAAGGCCCUCGGGUUGUAAACUGCUUUUGUACGGAACGAAAAGGUCUCUCUUAAUACGGGGGGCUCAUGACGGUACCGUAAGAAUAAGCACCGGCUAACUACGUGCCAGCAGCCGCAGUAA